rnacentral:rRNA from 1 species
GUGUCAGCAGCCGCGGUAAUACGAAGGGGGCUAGCGUUGUUCGGAAUUACUGGGCGUAAAGGGCGCGUAGGCGGCUGCCCAAGUCAGAUGUGAAAGCCCCGGGCUUAACCUGGGAAUUGCAUUUGAUACUGGGCAGCUUGAGUUUCGGAGAGGUGGGUGGAAUUCCCAGUGUAGAGGUGAAAUUCGUAGAUAUUGGGAAGAACACCGGUGGCGAAGGCGGCCCACUGGACGAAUACUGACGCUGAGGCGCGAAAGCGUGGGGAGCAAACAGGAUUAGAUACCCUGGUAGUCCACGCUGUAAACGAUGAGUGCUAGACGUUGGGGUCCUUAGGAUUUCAGUGUCGCAGCUAACGCAUUAAGCACUCCGCCUGGGGAGUACGGCCGCAAGGUUAAA